rnacentral:rRNA from 1 species
AGGACGAACGCUGGCGGCGUGCUUAACACAUGCAAGUGGAGCGACGAACCAGGGCUUGCCCUGGGGCAGAGCCGCGAACGGGUGAGUAACACGUGGGUUACCUGCCUCGAUGACCGGGACAACCCGAGGAAACUCGGGCUAAUACCGGAUGUGCCCGCAAGGGGAAAGGAAGCUUCGGCCUCCGCAUCGAGAUGGGCCCGCGGCCCAUUAGCUUGUUGGUGAGGUAACGGCUCACCAAGGCUUCGAUGGGUAGCUGGUCUGAGAGGACGAUCAGCCACACUGGGACUGAGACACGGCCCAGACUCCUACGGGAGGCAGCAGUGGGGAAUCUUGCGCAAUGCGCGAAAGCGUGACGCAGCAACGCCGCGUGGGGGAAGAAGGCUUUCGGGUUGUAAACCCCUUUCAGCAGGGACGAAGCGAAAGUGACGGUACCUGCAGAAGAAGCACCGGCUAACUACGCGCCAGCAGCCGCGGUAA